rnacentral:lncRNA from 1 species
AAGACAGCCCCCAGCGCUGCUGAGCCUGGUGUGGGAGGUGAGACCCCCUGCAGCUGCUGGAGUAAAGAGUUCGAUCCAUCCACAGGAGAGCCUUGCCUUGGCCUGAGGGAGCCACUUUACAGUAAAGGAAGUGGAGGAAGUGAGCCCAUGCCCCUGGAGCUGCUGGUCCUGUAACAUAUACCACACCACCCAGGAGCUGCCAGCCCAACAGAAUGAAACUGCUUCAGCUCAGAGUUGACAACCUCUGAUGGAAGGGUGCCAUCCCUCAGGAUGCAGUGUAUAGCUUGCAUGGUGCUGUGUCUACUCUGAUUCUGGCCUCUUCCAGAGGUCAGCAUCCCAGAGGGGGAACACUUCCAGGAAGAGGCUCACUAAACUUUCAGCUAUGCUGCUUCCUGAAGGCUCCUUGUGCCAAGAGACAAACAGGCAAGGAAAGGAGCCUCCCCUGGGCCACCAGAGGAGGCAGG